rnacentral:rRNA from 1 species
GCGUGAGUGAAGAAGGCCUUAGGGUUGUAAAACUCUUUCACCGGGGACGAUGAUGACGGUACCCGGAGAAGAAGCCCCGGCUAACUCCGUGCCAGCAGCCGCGGUAAUACGGAGGGGGCUAGCGUUGUUCGGAAUUACUGGGCGUAAAGCGCGCGUAGGCGGUUUGUUCAGUCAGGCGUGAAAGCCCCAGGCUCAACCUGGGAACUGCGCUUGAUACUAGCAGACUAGAGGCCGGGAGAGGGUAGUGGAAUUCCCAGUGUAGAGGUGAAAUUCGU